rnacentral:rRNA from 1 species
UACGUAGGUGGCAAGCGUUGUCCGGAUUUAUUGGGUUUAAGGGUGCGUAGGCGGCUUUGUAAGUCAGUGGUGAAAUAUGGCAGCUCAACUGUCAGGGUGCCAUUGAUACUGCAGAGCUUGAGUACAGAUGAGGUAGGCGGAAUUGACGGUGUAGCGGUGAAAUGCUUAGAUAUCGUCAAGAACACCGAUAGCGAAGGCAGCUUACUGGGCUGUAACUGACGCUGAGAGACGAAAGCUAGGGGAGCGAAUGGG